UUUUGAAUAGAAGGGCGGGCCAAAAAACCGGCCAGUUCAGCGGCCUAAGCAGAAGCAGAAUUCGUAAGUCAAGAGUCGAAAGAAAGAUAUUUUUGUCUUUCACUAGUGACAUCUCGAAACGUACGAAACGAACCGGAGUGCUGACAGCUGCCUGUGAGAUUUGUAUGGACAGCCCUGUUAAUUUUACAUGGUUUAUGUUAGUUUAUGUGAAUGUUCACGAAACAAUGCAACACCAGCCUGAAUGAAUUAUGGUUUCAUGAAUGAACAUGGACUGCUUUGUUAGAGGGCCAUAUAAGUUUGAAAAAAAAACAGACUGCUAUGGGAGAUCUCUUUGACUGAAGGUUGAACGCCCGCUCGCCAGCAACAGAAACGCAGCCCUACCCUCACAGAUUGGGAGUAGUGAAAGGGUCACUAGCAGUGGUUUGAGUGGCAGCAGCCCAAAGCCGACAUCAGCAGACUGCAGAGACGAGAUUUCUGGCAGACCAGCCAAACACAACCCUUUAAGCGCAGCGAAGCGAAGAAAACUGGACCAGCAGCACUAAAACUGACCAACUUUGAGGAAUUAAUAGCAUUAUGUCAAAUUCUUUCGCAAGAAAAAUACUUGACCUAAUGUGUGACCCAUUAAAUGAGAAGUCCGCAAGUCUCACCGAGAAGCCAGUACAGUAUUAGUAGUAGAAGAACUUCAUGUUAAAUAUCCAAUGUAAAGCUCUUUUUAAAAUAUCUGCCUCAAAUUAUUAUGUCUUCAUUAAAUAUCUGCUUCUAAUGUAACAAGUAAGGCAGUCAACCAAAUUUUAACUUGAUGUUGUGAUAAUUAACAAAUAUCCACAGUGAAUGCGACUGAUGUGCAUUGGUGAUGUAGAUUUCAAUCUCCGAAGGAUAAGGCAGUCGAGAGCUGGUUGCAUUGAACAACUGAGAUUAGAACGAAUAUUGAAAUAAUGGAAGACGAUCCAUUCUCAUCUCAUAGAGACUUAUGACACCAGCAUAAAUAAAUGAAUGAAUGAAUUGAAUAAAGCAAUACAUUUUUCCAAAC